rnacentral:rRNA from 1 species
AUACAGAGGGUGCAAGCGUUAAUCGGAUUUACUGGGCGUAAAGCGCGCGUAGGCGGCUAAUUAAGUCAAAUGAGAAAUCCCCGAGCUUAACUUGGGAAUUGCAUUCGAUACUGGUUAGCUAGAGUGUGGGAGAGGAUGGUAGAAUUCCAGGUGUAGCGGUGAAAUGCGUAGAGAUCUGGAGGAAUACCGAUGGCGAAGGCAGCCAUCUGGCCUAACACUGACGCUGAGGUGCGAAAGCAUGGGGAGCAAACAGGAUUAGAAACCCCGGUAGUCC